rnacentral:lncRNA from 1 species
GCGAGGAUGGCGUGCGGGUUCGGCGACGGGCGGGUGGUGUGGACGCGUAGCCCGUCGGCGUCGGCGCCGGAGCUCUCAUAAUUAGCGUUUUGUCGAUCAAACUCGGACAGGAGUCAAGAGGGUAGUCCUUGUAACAGCUGCCUUGUCUUUUACUUGUACAUUACUGUGAUAAUUACUUUUCCUUGUUCAUUACUGUGAUAAUUACUUGAAGAUUGUUCAUUUCAAUUGCUAUAAUUAGUUGAAGCUGGUUUAUUUUCA